rnacentral:rRNA from 1 species
CAUACGGGGUGCAGCAGUGGGGAAUAUUGGACAAUGGGCGAAAGCCUGAUCCAGCCAUGCCGCGUGUGUGAAGAAGGCCUUCGGGUUGUAAAGCACUUUCAGUGGGGAAGAAAGCCUUGGGGCUAAUACCCUCGAGGAAGGACAUCACCCACAGAAGAAGCACCGGCUAACUCCGUGCCAGCAGCCGCGGUAAUACGGAGGGUGCGAGCGUUAAUCGGAAUUACUGGGCGUAAAGCGCGCGUAGGCGGUCUGAUAAGCCGGUUGUGAAAGCCCCGGGCUCAACCUGGGAACGGCAUCCGGAACUGUCAGGCUAGAGUGCAGGAGAGGAAGGUAGAAUUCCCGGUGUAGCGGUGAAAUGCGUAGAGAUCGGGAGGAAUACCAGUGGCGAAGGCGGCCUUCUGGACUGACACUGACGCUGAGGUGCGAAAGCGUGGGUAGCAAACAGGAUUAGAUACCCGUGUAGUC